rnacentral:rRNA from 1 species
AACGUAGGACGCAAGCGUUAUCCGGAAUUACUGGGCGUAAAGGGCGCGUAGGCGGUCAGCACAAGUCAGUUGUGAAAUCUCCGGGCUUAACUCGGAAAGGUCAACUGAUACUGUGCGACUAGAGUGCAGAAGGGGCAACUGGAAUUCUCGGUGUAGCGGUGAAAUGCGUAGAUAUCGAGAGGAACACCUGCGGCGAAGGCGGGUUGCUGGGCUGACACUGACGCUGAUGCGCGAAAGCCAGGGGAGCGAACGGG